AGAGUUUGAUCCUGGCUCAGAAUGAACGCUGGCGGUGUGCUUAACACAUGCAAGUCGAACGAGAAAGUCCUUUCGGGGACUAGUACAGUGGCGAACGGGUGCGUAACGCGUAAGAAUCUACCCUUUAGUGAAGAAUACCCUCGAGAAAUCGAGGCUAAUACUGCAUACGUCUCUACGGAGAGAAAGGUGGCCUCUUGCUACCGCUGAAGGAUGAGCUUGCGUACUAUUAGCUAGUUGGUGAGGUAAAUGCUCACCAAGGCUUUGAUGGUUAGCCGGCCUGAGAGGGUGACCGGCCACAUUGGGACUGAGAUACGGCCCAGACUCCUACGGGAGGCAGCAGUGGGGAAUAUUGCACAAUGGACGCAAGUCUGAUGCAGCGACACCGCGUGGAGGAUGAAGGUCUUCGGAUUGUAAACUCCUGUUAAGUGGGAAGAAAGACGUAUGGCUAAUAUCCAUACGGGAUGACGGUACCACUAGAGAAAGCUCCGGCUAACUUCGUGCCAGCAGCCGCGGUAAUACGAAGGGAGCAAGCGUUAUUCGGAAUCACUGGGCGUAAAGGGCGCGUAGGCGGUUAAUUAAGUCGGUUGUUAAAGACCCCGGCUCAACUGGGGAAAGGCAAUUGAUACUGAUUAACUAAGAGGGCAAGAGAGAGGAGUGGAAUUCUCGGAGUAGCGGUAAAAUGCGUAGAUCUCGAGAGGAACACCGAUAGCGAAGGCAGCUUCUUGGCUUGUACCUGACGCUGAGGCGCGAAAGCGUGGGGAGCAAACAGGAUUAGAUACCCUGGUAGUC
rnacentral:rRNA from 1 species